rnacentral:tRNA from 1 species
CGGGAUGUAGCCUAGUGGCUAAGGCGUCUGCUUUGGGAGCAGAAAAUCGACGGUUCGAAUCCGCCCAUCCCGA